GGAGUCUCAGAGAGUUUGAUCCUGGCUCAGGAUGAACGCUAGCUACAGGCUUAACACAUGCAAGUCGAGGGGCAGCAUUGGAGUAGCAAUACUCAGAUGGCGACCGGCGCACGGGUGAGUAACACGUAUCCAACCUGCCGCUUACUCGGGGAUAGCCUUUCGAAAGAAAGAUUAAUACCCGAUGGUAUAAAGAGUUCGCAUGUUCUCUUUAUUAAAGAAUUUCGGUAAGCGAUGGGGAUGCGUUCCAUUAGAUAGUUGGCGGGGUAACGGCCCACCAAGUCUACGAUGGAUAGGGGUUCUGAGAGGAAGGUCCCCCACAUUGGAACUGAGACACGGUCCAAACUCCUACGGGAGGCAGCAGUGAGGAAUAUUGGUCAAUGGACGAGAGUCUGAACCAGCCAAAAGUAGCGUGAAGGAUGACUGCCCUAUGGGUUGUAAACUUCUUUUAUAAGGGAAUAAAGUGAGGGACGUGUCCCUUUUUGUAUGUACCUUAUGAAUAAGGAUCGGCUAACUCCGUGCCAGCCGCCGC
rnacentral:rRNA from 1 species